rnacentral:rRNA from 1 species
ACCCAUCAGAGGGGGAUAACACUUGGAAACAGGUGCUAAUACCGCAUAACAGUUUAUGCCGCAUGGCAUAAGAGUGAAAGGCGCUUUCGGGUGUCGCUGAUGGAUGGACCCGCGGUGCAUUAGCUAGUUGGUGAGGUAACGGCUCACCAAGGCCACGAUGCAUAGCCGACCUGAGAGGGUGAUCGGCCACACUGGGACUGAGACACGGCCCAGACUCCUACGGGAGGCAGCAGUAGGGAAUCUUCGGCAAUGGACGAAAGUCUGACCGAGCAACGCCGCGU